rnacentral:ncRNA from 1 species
UUAACACAUGCAAGUCGAACGGAACCUUCGGGUUUAGUGGCGCACGGGUGAGUAAUGUAUAGCUAACAUGCCCUUUAGAGGGGGAUAACAGUUGGAAACGACUGCUAAUACCCCAUACUCCUUCUUACUUAAUGUAAGUUGGGAAAGUUUUUUCGCUAAAGGAUUGGGCUAUAUGGUAUCAGCUUGUUGGUGAGGUAAUGGCUCACCAAGGCUAUGACGCCUAACUGGUCUGAGAGGAUGAUCAGUCACACUGGAACUGAGACACGGUGAAUGUUUAUCUUGAAUAUCUUCAAAAUGUGGCGUAAUGA